CCAGACUCCUACGGGAGGCAGCAGUGGGGAAUAUUGCACAAUGGGCGAAAGCCUGAUGCAGCAACGCCGCGUGAAGGAAGAAGGCCUUCGGGUCGUAAACUUCUGUCCUUGGGGAAGAAGAACUGACGGUACCCAAGGAGGAAGCCCCGGCUAACUACGUGCCAGCAGCCGCGGUAAUACGUAGGGGGCAAGCGUUAUCCGGAUUUACUGGGUGUAAAGGGAGCGUAGACGGCCAGACAAGUCUGAAGUGAAAAUCCAGCGCUUAACGUUGGAAGUGCUUUGGAAACUGCCGGGCUAGAGUGCAGGAGGGGCAGGCGGAAUUCCUAGUGUAGCGGUGAAAUGCGUAGAUAUUAGGAGGAACACCAGUGGCGAAGGCGGCCUGCUGGACUGCAACUGACGUUGAGGCUCGAAGGCGUGGGGAGCACACAGGAUUAGAUACCCCUGUAA
rnacentral:rRNA from 1 species